ensembl:snoRNA T23D8.11 ncRNA
GAAUUGGUCGGAACGAUGGAAUGUCAUUCACCUAAUUCUACGUCAUUUACAUUUCAACUUACUCGUCAUUUACAUCAUACUCACCCGAAAUGCGGGUCUUU